CACCUGUUUAUCAAAAACAUUUCUUAAUGAUAUUAAUUUUAAGUAUAAUCUGCCCAAUGAAAUAAUUUAAAUGGCUGCAGUAUUUAUAACUGUACUAAGGUAGCAUAAUAACUUGUUUUUUAAUUAAAAACUAGAAUAAAAGAUUAAAUGAAAUAUAAACUAUAUCAAAUAAAAUAAAAAUUAAAAUUAUUAUUUAAGUAAAAAAACUUAAAUAAAUUAAAAAGACAACAAGACCCUAUAGAAUUUUAUCUUUAAAAAAAUUUUAUCUAAUUAAUUAAAUUUAAAUAAAAUUUUUUAAAAAUUUAAUUGGGGUAAUUAAAAAAUUAAAUAAAUUUUUAUAUAAAUUAACAAUAAUAAAUGAAACUUAUAUAUUCAUCUUUAAUAAAAAUUAAUAAAAUUAAUUACCUUAGGGAUAACAGCAUAAUUUUUUUUUAAAGAACAAAUUAACAAAAAAGAUUAUGACCUCGAUGUUGAAUAAG
rnacentral:rRNA from 1 species